ensembl:lncRNA
GUUAGAAGGAUCCCAGCAACAGGAAGGCAUGAGGAAUCCGGGCAAUUAGCACUUAAGGAAAGGGCCCUAAGCUCCAGGACGGGGGCUGGGCAGGAUCUCCAGCUCACCUUGCUGGAGAUGAACAAAACCCGUGUCCAGCCUCAGCUGUGACACACCUUCCAGGAAGGGUCUUGCUCAGUGCCACUUUUCCCUCCCACCUGGAAUUGUGAGGGAGAGUGUAUUUUUGCGGGUGAUUGGAGAAACGAAGUGAACGUUGUCUAGGCGGCUGGACUAUUUGAGUGGAAAAUAGAUGUGAGAGAUACCAAGACUGAUCAGAGGGUGACCUAUGAGCCACCAGCAUCAGGGUCCCAGGAGCUCAAAGAUAUAAAUUUCCUGUCCUCCCUGCCCAAUCUAAGUUCCACCUGACUCAGCACUGCCCAUCUUUAAAAGCAUUUCUGGUGAUUUUUGUGUAAACUAAAAUUUAAAGACCACAGAUCCCAGUUGUCCAAGGACAAGGCAUAAAAAUCAUUGCUGGGAGAGUUUAGCUUCUAACAUAUAAUCAAGGUGUUCCUUAAAGUAGGUUCAAUCUGAGUCAUUUGUAGGAAAGUGGCUGCACCUUGAGACCAUAAUGUAUGGCUUCUCUUAUAUGAGAAACCCAAAGAAUAAAUAAAGAACAAGAUAAAAGACAGAUGACAGGAAACAGGGAGACAAAGUUUUUGCAAAUGGAAAAAGGGAACAAGAGAUGCCAGGAGGGGGGAAGGAGGGAAAGGGGACAUAAAAAGAAUCGAUGUGUUAUGUACAUGUAUCAAGUUCCCUUGAGGAAUGUCAUUAUGUAAUGCAGAGAUGGACUAAUAAAAAAUGUAAAAAUUAUUUUAGAAAAGAUUCUAGAGGAAAAAGCUGAGCUGAAUUAAGAUUCAGGGUAGAACUUUUGGACUAUGUAAUUGAAAUGGAUUAAAUGUGAAAAUGACUGGUAUUGGAAAUAAAUUAUUUGGGACACACAUGCGUGUGCACACAUCACACACACACACACGUUCCCACCACUUCUCUCCAGAAUUCCAGAUGCUGGCUGCCUCCCACUUUCAGUGGUGUCCUUGGUAUCUCAGGCUCAUCCUGGCCACUGCCAAAUAGCCUCGCACUCAGUGGGCUCCUGUGAAGGGGCGGCUCCAACCUUAGCUUGCUUAUCCGGGAUCUUCACACUGGCUGCUCUUCCUGCCUCAGAAGGGGAGCUCUCCCAGGCAGGGAUUUCUGUGUGUUUUAUUCACGGCCUGAUCCCAGGAUUGGAAUGAUGCCCGGCACGUGGGAGAUCCUCUGUAAUGCCUGCUAGAUGAGUGACAAUGACAUGCCACGUGUCUUU